UACAGAGGGCCCAAGCGUUGUUCGGAUUCAUUGGGCGUAAAGGGUGCGUAGGCGGCGCCGUAAGUCAGGUGUGAAAUUUCGGAGCUUAACUCCGAAACUGCAUUUGAUACUGCGGUGCUUGAGGACUGGAGAGGAGACUGGAAUUUACGGUGUAGCAGUGAAAUGCGUAGAGAUCGUAAGGAAGACCAGUGGCGAAGGCGGGUCUCUGGACAGUUCCUGACACUGAGGCACGAAGGCCAGGGGAGCAAACGGG
rnacentral:rRNA from 1 species